GACGGAGGGUGCUAGCGUUGUUCGGAAUGACUGGGCGUAAAGGGCGCGUAGGCGGCUCGUGAAGUCGGGUGUGAAAGCCCGGGGCUCAACCCCGGAACGGCAUCCGAUACUGGCGGGCUUGAGACCGGGAGAGGAGGGUGGAAUACCCAGUGUAGAGGUGAAAUGCGCAGAUAUCGGGAGGAACACCGGUGGCGAAGGCGGUUCUCUGGGCCUUACCUGACGCUGAGGAGCGAAAGCGUGGGGAGCGAACAGG
rnacentral:rRNA from 1 species